rnacentral:rRNA from 1 species
ACGAACGCUGGCGGCGUGCUUAACACAUGCAAGUCGAACGGAAAGGCCCCUUUGGGGGUACUCGAGUGGCGAACGGGUGAGUAACACGUGGGUGAUCUGCCUUGCACUCUGGGAUAAGCCUGGGAAACUGGGUCUAAUACUGGAUAUGACUGCACUGUAGGUGGUGUGGUGGAAAGCUUUUGCGGUGUGAGAUGAGCUCGCGGCCUAUCAGCUUGUUGGUGGGGUAAUGGCCUACCAAGGCGUCGACGGGUAGCCGGCCUGAGAGGGUGUACGGCCACAUUGGGACUGAGAUACGGCCCAGACUCCUACGGGAGGCAGCAGUGGGGAAUAUUGCACAAUGGGCGCAAGCCUGAUGCAGCGACGCCGCGUGGGGGAUGACGGCCUUCGGGUUGUAAACUCCUUUCGGCCACGACGAAGAUGUAUUUUGACGGUAGUGGCAGAAGAAGCACCGGCUAACUACGUGCCAGCAGCCGCAGUAACAC